rnacentral:misc_RNA from 1 species
UAAAUAUCGAAGCAAUUCACGAAAAAACAGUUUAGCUUGUAAACAUUCUAAAUACAGAAGAUAACAGCAUUUUGAUUACAGUGAUUUUAAAGCUGCAACCCCUCAGACAUUUCAAUAGACUCGUCUAUCCCAGCACUUUCUCAAAUUCGACAGAUCUCCCACUUGCGGAAUAGACGCCUUAUAAUGCGAUAAAUACUAAUAAUUUAACAUUGCCAGGGCGGCUACUGGAGUUGAUAACAUCAAAAGACCGCCUGGCAAACCAUAAACUGAAUCUGAAAGUGGAUUAUUGUAGAAAUCACGAUGGAAUAAUUUUUUGAAAAGGAAAUCCGCCAUAUUGAAUCGUCUAGACAGAAAUGCAAGGGAUAUAAAAUACAAUGGGGCUGGUGAUGUACGCUGUCAUCCUUUUAUUAACAUGCUGUUUUUAUUUGGGAUGCAGUGGGAUUCCUUCAUCUACAAAGUCCCCUGGGCUGAUGUGUGCCCACAAGGCUUCGAGUGAGGGUGGUGAAAGUGAGACUGGACAAUCAUCUGGGCCAGUGAGGACUUCGGGUAUAGUGCAAGCAGACAAUAAGAGUGUCAGUUGUCCCUCUCAUGACCAUACCUGCUUUACACUGUGGACAGAGAAAACAAAUGAAGUAUUCAUGCAAGGCUGUUGGAAGUCUAGCCAGAAAGCUGAUGACUGUAAUAAUGACUGCUCCAGCAGCCGGCCAUCCUACUCACCCCCUAAUACUAAUGGUAGCAGCAACCAUAUAUUCUUCUGCUGCUGCAGGAGUAACUACUGCAAUAACAACUACAAUGUCAACUAUACGGCACUUAGGAUUAUCAACAGCCAAACAUCCAAACCUCUUUUGGAUCAGAACCCUGAUCAAGGAGUUAUUACACACCCUGGAUAUGAUGUAAACUUGCCUGCCUAUAUCCUUGUACCAAUAGUCGUUGUUGCUGUAUUUCUGGUCAUUUCCUACUUUCUCUACCGGCGCCAUCUACCCCCUGAUCCCUUCACUGAGGUGAACGAAGCCUUAGACCUGGCAGAGGGCCAGUGUAUCACUGACUUUGGGUUAGAUGAUCUCAAGAUAUCAAAUGUAUUGGACAGAGGGCGCUAUGGAGAGGUUUGGAAGGGCUCGCUCAAUGACCGUGAGGUUGCUGUGAAAAAAUUUGGCCAGCAUAAUUUUGAAUCAUUCUCAAAUGAGAGGGACAUUUACAUGUUGCCAUUGGUUGAACAUGCUUCUAUAUUGAAAUAUUUUGGAAGUGAUGAGCGAAUUGAAGAAAAUGGAAGUUCAUCAUUCUUGAUGGCUCUCGAGUAUUGCCCCAAUGGGGCCCUUAUGGCAUUCCUUAAGAACAAUAGCCUUGACUGGGCUACAAUGUGCAAAAUGUGCCAAAGCAUAGCCAGUGGGGUGGGCCACUUGCAUAAUGAACUCACGAAGGGGGAUAAGGUUAAGCCCGCUAUAGCUCAUAGAGAUAUAAACACUCGCAAUAUACUAGUCAAGGCCGAUCUAUCAUGUGCUAUAUGUGACUUUGGAUUUGCUAUGAAGAUACAGGGAAGCAGGUUUUACCCAACAGGAUCUGAUGAAAAUGACACACCAUCACUUGAAGAUGUGGGAACGCUGCGUUACAUGGCCCCUGAGGUACUGGAAGGUGCAGUUAAUCUGCGUGAUUGUGAGGCCUCAUUGAAACAAAUAGACGUCUACUCUCUUGGUCUUGUAAUCUGGGAAGUGGCGUCACGAACAACUGAUCUCUAUCAAGGCCUUCCAAUGCCUGAGUACCAGCUGCCCUACCAAGCUGAGGUUGGCCUCAACCCUACCUUUGAUGAGAUGCAACUGAAGGUCUCGUUGGAGAAAAGACGUCCAGCUUUCCCGAGGAUGUGGACUGAUAACAAUCAGGCUGUGCGAGCAUUGAAGGAGACCAUUGAGGAUUGUUGGGACCAGGAUGCAGAGGCGAGACUUACAUCACUUUGUGUGGAGGAAAGGGUCCUAGAGAUCAUGCAGCUGUGGGAGGCGAGGCAAAAAGGUGUAACUCCAACUAUAUAUUCUGGUACAACAUCAUUCGGGGAUGGAUCAAUGAUGCAACGUAACCCCACAUCACCUGAGGUGGGCUCCACCGAUACUAAUGGAAACCCCCCUGAUACAACUGGAGACCAUACCAUAGGGGGCUUGAUUGUGCGCCAUUGUCGACCCCAGAGUGUUUCCGAGUCCACCAUUGAGACUUAUCUGACCUCACCUAGUGAGGACCCCAAUGUAGACCCUCCUCCCCCACCCGCCCCACUCAAGGCCACUAAUGAAAACUUUGCCAAGCAGAAUAUGGUGCUACAGCCUCACCAGGGAAGGAACCCUGUGGCUGCGAGGAACACAAUGCAACGUAGUGAGGAGGAGGUGGUUAUAGGCAAUGAAUUGCAGAACAAAGGACAUACUUUCCCAAUUAGCCCUGGUUUGGAUGUGUUCACUGAUGGUGGACUGGAGAAUUCCCUUGUGCAGAAUGAUGUACUUAGUCACACCAGCCACAGACCCCAUAACAGCAAUCCUAUAGAUUAUGUCCAGAACAGUACCGUUGUUAAUCCUCCAGCUACUGUCAGGCCUAAGCAGCAUAAUGUCCCUGGCAAUGGACAUUCUAAUAUUUAUGGGCCGAAUCUAAUGUCCAGUUAUGACAUGGGAAACACAAAUCCUAAGACUAGACUGCAAAAAAUGAAAAAAGCGCUUGAAAAGCCAAAAUUGAAUAUAUUUAAUCGUAACCCAAUAUCUAAGAGCCAACAUAAUGUGGUACAACAUCCUAGCGAGUCAGAGCCCCUUGACCCAAGUGGAUCUAAUGAGGCCUCAGGCUACACACGUGGCAAGUCAAAUCUUGACCCUCGCCCCCUCCCUACUGAAGUGAAUAUAUACAAUGGAGUGACACUUGUACGGCAAGACUUGGAAGCUUCUGGUGCAACAUCUGCCCCUUCUCGUUAUAACACAGACAGAGUGGAUAACACUAGAAGCUACCUGUCUAGGGGUCCAUAUAAUGGGUCCUUGAAUGGUGCAGCCCAAUAUAAUGGGUCAAAUGGUUCCUUGAAUGGAGCUACCCCAUUAAAUGGGGCAAGAAAUGAAGCAAGUGGAUCAACAAAUGCAAGAUUAGGGAUGGCGGAAGUUGGCAUAGCUAAACUAGAGCCUCGCAUUAAUGGUGCCUCACCAUUACUAAUGAGUCGCACCAAGUCACAGAGUAGUGGGGACAUGAGUCCCAGUUGCAGCUCCCUUAGUAGCCUGUCCAGUGAUGACAGUCCCCGUAGACCAUCAUCCCUUCGUUUAAAGGGACAUAAUUACCGGAUGGAUAAAAAGAAAAGACGUGAAGAAAGACAAGCUAGGGAGUUACGUGAUGCUACUAAUAACAACCCUAGCGCUAGUGAAACGUCACUGCAGCAAGCAACAACAACAGCCACGACUACAAGCAACAAACAUGCUGAGAACAAUAACCCUUCAUCACCAAGGAGCUUAGAGGAACUAUCUUCAGACACUAGUAUAUCUUCUACAGAACGUAUACAGAAGCGAAUCAAAACUCCAUUUAAUUUGAAAACUACAAGAUUUUCUCUGUAUGAUGAUCGUAUGAUGAGCACUGAGACUGGUAGCCAUGGUGAUUCUAGCACAGCAAAUAAAGGAAGCACUGGUGACCGCAUGAGUCAGUCAACAAUAUCCUUACAACAGUUCAGUGGAAGUGGGGAUGUUGAUGUAGAGGCAUUGAGACAAGCUGAUUUUGUCUGUUAGGACUUCAUUCCCAUUUACUUUUUCAUUGGCAUAAAUACUACCUAUGACUAAAAUCAUGCAUUUUGUUUUUAAUCGAGUUCCUUCUGGUUAGUACAAUUUCACAAUUUACAUUGAAUCCCUUAUCUAAAUUCUACUCUUGCUGUAGAAAUUGAACCAUGGUUUUUAGUUAUAGGCAUAUAUGUAAGUAGAUGCUUGCAUUGUUAGAUGCUGGAAUGAAACUAAGCUUCAUAUGACAUCACCUCCUUGGCAUCAAAGCUGGUUGCUUAAAUGCCAUUUUGAUGGAUUUAUGCCAAUUCCCAGUUUCAUUUGCCCCAUAUAUUUCUGCAGUCUAAACUAUGUGUCAUCAAACCAGAUAAACAAACACAGCCCCAGUUAUACCCUUGUAUUCUAUUUUGCAAUAGAUUGUAGAUGUAUUUGCAUAGUCUCAUCUACAGUCUCAAGAAGGAGCUCAGUUUACAUGGUGAUAUUUUCUUGGGUCUGUACACUGGACUAGGACAUGCCAUAAAAUGAAUGAAUUGUGAAAUCAGGAAAUUAAUUGACAUGAUCAGAACGUGAUAUUUGAUUUGCUCUAGGUUUAAUGAUAUGUACUUUGAAUUCCAUUUAGAUUUCAAAAUGUCAAUAAAAUGGAAUGAAUUUAUUUAAAAUAGUAUAACUUAAUAUAUAAAUAAUUUGAAAAAUCAUGUUCAAGCUAACUGCUUCAACUGAUGCAAAUCUAGUUUAGUCCUAAGCAAUACUCUAUUUAAUGCUGUAGUGAAUUUUGUACCAGUUGGUUAAGUUCUUGUAUUGUAUAUGCCAUAGAACACAUCGGCCUAUUAGGAAUUAGUACAUUUUACAUUUAAUAUAAACUUGUCAAUGCAUAAAUACAUGUCACAACUCAUUUGCUUGUACCCAGUAAAGGUAUCCCAUGUGCAUAGAGGGUAUCCAGCAAUUAAUGGCACAGGUUCUCUUACAACCUGCAAAAAAGAUCAAUCAAGUUCUAGAAACCCAGUGACCAGGUGCAAUAAGAAUUUUUUGGAAAUCUGUUUCUUUUUCAUGUCCGAUACCUUUUGAUAGUUUCACAAAAGCCUUUUAUAGGAAUAUGAAUUUUGCUGUUUCAAAGAUAUUGUAUUUUUAACCUCUAUGAUUUCUAAACUCUGUGUACAUAGAAAUAGUUGUUACCUGUGUUGGAGAGUGACAUCAUAGUUGGCUGAAUGUGAUUUGUGGGAUCGGUGCCAAUAAUUAUUGGGACUCCCUGUUCACAUUGAUGGACCCCAUGCCAAAUCCAAUUGUUCAUCAUAUUAACACACCUUGUAUUUGAAUUGUAAAAGUACAUGUACCGUAUAUGUAUUUGAAUAUAGUUGAUGAAGUACGUUUGAAUUAAUAAUGCAUGUAGAUAGCUUAUUGCUUCUUUGAUGCACAUGUUGUAUCAAUGAUAUUCUAUGUUUGUGAAUGAAUCCUAAACAUUUAAUAUGUAAUAUAUACAUGUUCAAUGUAUUAAGACUACAAUAGAUGCAUUUCUGACGUGUGUGAUUAUGUUGAAAGGCAUUACUAAAAUAUUCUGUACUAUUCCAAGGGCAAAUCACCUACUGAAGGACAGCACACAGAAUAGGAAGCAUCUUAACUCCAGAGUUGCACUUGUGAGAGUAGUAUAUUGGUUUAAAUUUAACAUGUCUUAUUAAAUGGUAUCAUAUAUUUGAAAGAAAUUAAAAGCAUUUGGAAUUAAAAAACAUCCAUUAUAUUCUUCACAUCAAUUUGAUAAUCCUUAUUAAGGAUAUAGGGAUGUACAUUAUUGUAAAAUUUAAGAGUCCGGUUCCUUAUCUUCAAGUCACAUGUAAGUAGUUUAAAAUACAAGUGAAACGCAAUGUAUUGCAGAAAUACAAAUGUUCAACUGUAUGUUUGAAAAUAUUUAUGUUCAAUUUGUUUUGAGUACAGGGUAAGCCAAAAAGGUAACUCAUACAAAUCUUAACUCAGUCAUUCAGUAUGGGUUUGAAGUCAUAUUU